rnacentral:rRNA from 1 species
AUUGAACGCUGGCGGCAGGCCUAACACAUGCAAGUCGAGCGGAUGAAGGGAGCUUGCUCCUGGAUUCAGCGGCGGACGGGUGAGUAAUGCCUAGGAAUCUGCCUGGUAGUGGGGGAUAACGUCCGGAAACGGGCGCUAAUACCGCAUACGUCCUGAGGGAGAAAGUGGGGGAUCUUCGGACCUCACGCUAUCAGAUGAGCCUAGGUCGGAUUAGCUAGUUGGUGGGGUAAAGGCCCACCAAGGCGACGAUCCGUAACUGGUCUGAGAGGAUGAUCAGUCACACUGGAACUGAGACACGGUCCAGACUCCUACGGGAGGCAGCAGUGGGGAAUAUUGGACAAUGGGCGAAAGCCUGAUCCAGCAAUGCCGAGUGCGUGAAGAAGGUCUUCGGAUUGUAAAGCACUUUAAGUUGGGAGGAAGGGCAGUAAGUUAAUACCUUGCUGUUUUGGCGUUACCAACAGGAUAAGCACCGGCUAACUUCGUG